GAUGAAGAACGCAGCGAAAUGCGAUAAGUAAUGUGAAUUGCAGAAUUCAGUGAAUCAUCGAAUCUUUGAACGCACAUUGCGCCCGCCAGUAUUCUGGCGGGCAUGCCUGUCCGAGCGUCAUUUCAACCCUCGCGCCCCCUCGGGGGCACGGCGUUGGGAGACGGCCCCGCCCCAGCGUGGAUGGCGGCCGCCCCCGAAAUCCAGUGGCGACCCCGCCGCAGCCUCCUCUGCGUAGUAGCUUACCAAGAAACAUCGCACCGGAGCAGCGGCCCGGCUCUGCCGUGAAACCCCCCAAUUUCAAAUGGAAGGUUGACCUCGGAUCAGGUAGGAAUACCCGCUGAACUUAAGCAUAUCAAUAAGCGGAGGA
rnacentral:misc_RNA from 1 species